rnacentral:rRNA from 1 species
UACGAAGGGUGCAAGCGUUACUCGGAAUUACUGGGCGUAAAGCGUGCGCAGGCGGUUCGUUGUGUCGGCGGUGAAAGCCCCGGGCUUAACCUGGGAAUGGCCGUUGAAACUGGCGAACUGGAGUGUGGCAGAGGGGGGUGGAAUUCCGCGUGUAGCAGUGAAAUGCGUAGAGAUCGGGAGGAACACCCGUGGCGAAGGCGGCCAUCUGGACCAGCACUGACGCUGAGGCACGAAAGCGUGGGGAGCAAACAGG